rnacentral:rRNA from 1 species
GUGUCAGCAGCCGCGGUAAUACGUAGGGUGCGAGCGUUGUCCGGAAUUACUGGGCGUAAAGAGCUCGUAGGUGGUUUGUCGCGUCGUCUGUGAAAUUCCGGGGCUCAACUCCGGGCGUGCAGGCGAUACGGGCAUAACUUGAGUGCUGUAGGGGAGACUGGAAUUCCUGGUGUAGCGGUGAAAUGCGCAGAUAUCAGGAGGAACACCGAUGGCGAAGGCAGGUCUCUGGGCAGUAACUGACGCUGAGGAGCGAAAGCAUGGGUAGCGAACAGGAUUAGAUACCCUGGUAGUCCAUGCCGUAAACGGUGGGCGCUAGGUGUGGGGGUCUUCCACGACUUCUGUGCCGUAGCUAACGCAUUAAGCGCCCCGCCUGGGGAGUACGGCCGCAAGGCUAAAACUUAAAGGAAUUGACGG